AUUGAACGCUGGCGGCAUGCCUUACACAUGCAAGUCGAACGGCAGCACGGGGGCAACCCUGGUGGCGAGUGGCGGACGGGUGAGUAAUGCAUCGGAACGUGCCCUGAAGUGGGGGAUAACGCAGCGAAAGCUACGCUAAUACCGCAUAUUCUGUGAGCAGGAAAGCAGGGGAUCGCAAGACCUUGCGCUUUGGGAGCGGCCGAUGUCGGAUUAGCUAGUUGGUGGGGUAAAGGCCUACCAAGGCGACGAUCCGUAGCGGGUCUGAGAGGAUGAUCCGCCACACUGGGACUGAGACACGGCCCCAGACUCCUACGGGAGGCAGCAGUGGGAAUUUUGGACAAUGGGCGAAAGCCUGAUCCAGCCAUGCCGCGUGAGUGAAGAAGGCCUCGGUUGUAAG
rnacentral:rRNA from 1 species